UAAAGGCAGCAGUGGGGAAUAUUGCACAAUGGGCGCAAGCCUGAUGCAGCCAUGCCGCGUGUAUGAAGAAGGCCUUCGGGUUGUAAAGUACUUUCAGUCGUGAGGAAGGUGUUAAGGUUAAUAACCUUAGCAAUUGACGUUAGCGACAGAAGAAGCACCGGCUAACUCCGUGCCAGCAGCCGCGGUAAUACGGAGGGUGCGAGCGUUAAUCGGAAUUACUGGGCGUAAAGGGCACGCAGGCGGUUAAUUAAGUUGGAUGUGAAAUCCCCGGGCUUAACCUGGGAAUGGCAUUCAAGACUGGUUAGCUAGAGUCUUGUAGAGGGGGUUAGAAUUCCAUGUGUAGCGGUGAAAUGCGUAGAGAUGUGGAGGAAUACCGGUGGCGAAGGCGGCCCCUGGACAAAGACUGACGCUCAUGUGCGAAAGCGUGGGGAGCAAACAGGGAUUAGAUA
rnacentral:rRNA from 1 species